ACACUUAGUGUGUGAGGCAGAGAAGGUUAGCACUCGGACACAAAAUGUAGGGGAGAAAGAAGAAAAAGAUAAUAAACAGAGAAUACGAGGGGGUGGGUUUCUUAAAUGUGUGACAGAGAUACAGAGGGG